rnacentral:lncRNA from 1 species
CCAAGUCACAUAUUUUUCAACAAGGUCAAGUUUCCCUCCAGACUCAACUGACAGGACAGGGUAAUUUUGCAGUUAAAGGAAACACGCGAGAAAUAGAGAAGCGGGGAUACCUUCCAAGAGACACAGACUUUUAACUACACUCUCAUUCAGUUUUACGUUGAAUCAACUCUACAGAGAACUUAAAUAAUUGAAAAACAAAUGCGUUGCACUAAAAAGCGAUACUUUUCUUCCUCAUCCAGAUGACAAAAACUGACCAUCACCAAUAUCAUCACCGCUGCAACCUGAGAUGCUAUGAAAUAAAGCUUUGGUGUGAUUAAAUCCAGAAUCUGAAAUAUGCCAUAAAACUGAGAGCCUGGGCCUCGUUUAGACAAGGAGGAUCGAGGAGACUUUGUCAAAAUGAUGUUAUUUAAGCUGAGUGUGCCAGCAUUAUAGGAUUUAGCCAAGUAAAGACUGAAGAACACUGAGAGAAAUCUACCCAGCGUAUCGGAUACACACAUUGCUGUUCAUCCAGCUGGUAAUAUAUUUUGCUCCUUUCCAAGACUCUAAUUUAUUAGCAGAUGCAGAAAAACAAGCCCUGUCGGUCAGUGGUCACAAACGACCAAGAGGGAUGAUCGAUGCAUUGCUCUGGGAGGCUAAGGUCACAGGGUAUGAACGAAAAAGUGCGACACGUGGAUUAAGCAAAC